UACGGAGGGUGCAAACGUUGCUCGGAAUCAUUGGGCGUAAAGCGCACGUAGGCGGCUCGUUAAGUCGGAUGUGAAAGCCCUGGGCUCAACCCAGGAAGUGCAUUCGAAACUGGCGAGCUUGAAUAUGGAAGAGGGUCGCGGAAUUCCCGGUGUAGAGGUGAAAUUCGUAGAUAUCAGGAGGAACACCAAUAGCGAAGGCAGCUCGCUGGGACGGUACUGACGCUAAGGCGCGAAAGCGUGGGGAGCGAACAGG
rnacentral:rRNA from 1 species